rnacentral:rRNA from 1 species
CCUACGGGAGGCAGCAGUGAGGCAUAUUGGUCAAUGGGCGUAAGCCUGAACCAGCCAAGUCGCGUGAGGGAUGAAGGUUCUAUGGAUCGUAAACCUCUUUUAUAAGGGAAUAAAGUGUGGGACGUGUCCUGUUUUGUAUGUACCUUAUGAAUAAGGAUCGGCUAACUCCGUGCCAGCAGCCGCGGUAAUACGGAGGAUCCGAGCGUUAUACGGAGUUAUUGGGUUUAAAGGGUGCGUAGGCGGCCUUUUAAGUCAGCGGUGAAAGUCUGUGGCUCAACCAUAGAAUUGCCGUUGAAACUGGGAGGCUUGAGUAUGUUUGAGGCAGGCGGAAUGCGUGGUGUAGCGGUGAAAUGCUUAGAUAUCACGCAGAACCCUGAUUGCGAAGGCAGCCUGCCAAGCCAUGACUGACGCUGAUGCACGAAAGCGUGGGGAUCAAACAGGAUUAGAUACCCCGGUAGUC